rfam:Lactobacillus perolens DSM 12744 Scaffold88, whole genome shotgun sequence.
GGAGUGUUGUCCGAGCCUGGCUGAUGGUGCCUGUCUACUAAACAGGUAACGAUAAAUCGUUCGGGGGUUCAAAUCCUCCACACUCCG